UGGGGAAUCUUGCGCAAUGGGGCGAAAGCCUGACGCAGCCACGCCGCGUGAGUGAUGAAGGCCUUAGGGUUGUAAAGCUCUUUUUACCAGGGGAUGAUAAUGACAGUACCUGGAGAAUAAGCUCCGGCUAACUCCGUGCCAGCAGCCGCGGUAAUACGGAGGGAGCUAGCGUUGUUCGGAAUUACUGGGCGUAAAGCGCACGUAGGCGGCGAUUCAAGUCAGAGGUGAAAGCCCGGGGGCUCAACCCCGGAACUGCCUUUGAAACUAGAUUGCUAGAAUCCUGGAGAGGUGAGUGGAAUUCCGAGUGUAGAGGUGAAAUUCGUAGAUAUUCGGAAGAACACCAGUGGCGAAGGCGACUCACUGGACAGGUAUUGACGCUGAGGUGCGAAAAGCGUGGGGAGCAAAACAGGAUUAGAAUACCCUGGUAGUCCACGCCGUAAAACGAUGAUAACUAGCUGUCCGGGCUCAUAGAGCUUGGGUGGCGCAGCUAACGCAUUAAGUUAUCCGCCUGGGGAGUACGGUCGCAAGAUUAAAAACUU
rnacentral:rRNA from 1 species